rnacentral:lncRNA from 13 species
CCAUGCUGCACCUGCUGGGGCUCUGGGCCAGCAGCUUAGGCCAGGGAGCCUGGCUUUGAACUUGGAAACUCCCAUAAGGGUUGUCAAAAGGAGGAAGACCUAAUUUGGGGAGACCAUUUUGGCCCUGGGUUUUUGCAGAGAUGGUAAAGCUUCAUGAGUGGAAAGGAAGUUGUGUGAACAAUUUCCUCAUUGAUGUGAGUUCUGCCACUCUGUAGAAAGCAGAAACAGCUUGGCCAGCACCCUCCUUAGCUGCUUUUUGUAAAAGUGUCACUGGUUUGAAUACACAUGCAGAGAAUUCCUUGUGACUUGCCACAUUACUGAAUACCGACUCUGUCAGACAGUCAGCCAGCGGUCUGGAGGCCCCUGAAAACCAGAGGCUGCUGCAGACAUCGAGCGAGGCCCACAGACUGCCUGCAGUUUCUUGUGCUUCUCCCCUCAGCAGCCAGCAUGAUGGCAGACAAGCUUAUAGCCUCCAGGAAGAAGAAUGGAAGAUUCCUCUGGGGAUACUGAUGAGGCCAAGAGAAAAGACCUACUAACAAAGUUUCCCCAAUGAAAGAGCUGGAUCCCCACCUGAUCAGCCCACUGUGAAGUCCACUGGCAGAUGAGCCUCACCCAUACACACAGAACUUGAAAUUACCAUUUUGGUUCCUUUACUAUUAUGUCUGAGUAGAUAGGUUAGCACCACUUGACAUCAAAGGGGAGCUUCUAACGUGAAAGACAGAGACAUAAGUGAAUCAGCCACCCAACCAGCCAUAGUAGAGGAAAACAGACUGCAGAAAGCAAAAUAAAAUUUCAAGAAAAUCCCA